ACCCUUCCUUGUUCUGUAAGAAUGGCAUGCUGAAGAGGAAUAGAUUUUCUUGAUAAUCACAGCCCCACAAAGAAGGUUUUCACAAGUAACUUAAAAAAGUGGAAAUCUUUCCACUCAGGGAAACAGAAACACCUUUUCAUAGCUCCCUGAGCUUGCUUUGGUUUGCAUCAGCACCACCCCUGAGCCAGCUUAGUUUUGGAGGAGCAGCGUGACAGAGAACAUCUGGUCAUUGAGUGUAUGCGGAGGAUGUUCAGAUGCUGUGGAGGAAAUGCCAGAGGUAGCCAGAGAGGGUGGGGAUGUUUGUCACCAGCCACUUUCAUUACUAGGGUUAAAAGCAGCAGUUGCCAGAGCUUCACCUCACCCAAAACUGACAAAGAAGAAUGUCUGAAUGGAAGUCUUCAGAGACAGGUACCUUCAGAAGGUGAUUCAUCUGCACUAUCUUAGAUACCUCUCUUAGGAAAAGAUGAAUAGACUUUUGACUAGAAUUCUGUCAGUGAGAAGUUUCAUAUAAAUAUCUUUCAAAAGUGUUUUUAACAGAAUAUUUUUUAUCUAAGGGAAAUAAAUUGCUUCUGUUCCUACUAGCUGAUGUAUCUGGCUGGCUAUGAAAAGUGAGUUUGCUUAUCUCACUCCAGCAACCUCUGUAUUCAAAUGCUACCACUGCCAUUGGUUCGUGUUAUCCCUACCACACUAGCACUCCUUAGAAAGAUAAAGAAUGGAGGAAUAAACAUCCUUA